rnacentral:tRNA from 1 species
GCUCCCAUGGCGUAGUGGUGACUGCGCUCGCCUUGCACGCGGGAGACCCGGGUUCGAUUCCCGCCGGGGUCA